rnacentral:rRNA from 1 species
GACGAACGCUGGAGGCGUGCUUAACACAUGCAAGUCGAACGGAAAGGCCCUGCUUGCAGGGUACUCGAGUGGCGAACGGGUGAGUAACACGUGGGUGAUCUGCCCUGCACUUCGGGAUAAGCCUGGGAAACUGGGUCUAAUACCGGAUAGGAGCCAUUUUUAGUGUGAUGGUUGGAAAGUUUUUUCGGUGUAGGAUGAGCUCGCGGCCUAUCAGCUUGUUGGUGGGGUAAUGGCCUACCAAGGCGGCGACGGGUAGCCGGCCUGAGAGGGUGGACGGCCACAUUGGGACUGAGAGACGGCCCAGACUCCUACGGGAGGCAGCAGGGGGGAAUAUUGCACAAUGGGCGCCAGCCUGAUGCAGCGACGCCGCGGGGGGGAUGACGGCCUUCGGGUUGAAAACUCCUUUCGCUAGGGACGAAGCUUUUUGUGACGGUACCUAGAUAAGAAGCACCGGCUAACUACGUG